rnacentral:rRNA from 1 species
UUAAAUUGAAGAGUUUGAUCAUGGCUCAGAUUGAACGCUGGCGGCAGGCCUAACACAUGCAAGUCGAACGGUAGCACAGAGGAGCUUGCUCCUU